AUCUAAAUGACGAUUCCCAAAUAGAAUGAAACGCUCGUCGAACUGGAU
rnacentral:hammerhead_ribozyme from 1 species